CCUCACCCGCGCCCGCACCGGCGACUAGAGCGCGUGGGGCAGCGCCGCGCCCUGACAGCCGCUCGACGCCUCCUCGCCUUCUCCAGGAGCCGCACACCGGCCUCCCCCGCCCGGCGCUCCCCUCCCAGCCCGAGCCCUCCUGCUGCUGCUGCUGCCGCUCCUCCUCCUCCUCAGCGUCCUCCCCUGGCGCGCGGCGCUGACAGGCAGCUACAGCGGGGCGAGUGCAGGUACUUUGCCUCCAGAAUAAUUUGCGGGACCCAAGCUAGCUUUUGGAGCGCACCCCCCCCACACACACACACCCCGCCGCACCUCCAUUUUCUUCAGUUUCCUUCCCCCUUCCUCUUGGAAAAGAAGAUCCCACUUUUGAAACAAACGGAACCUGAAGCACCCUGCCAAAGGCUAAACCCGACGGGCAGCGGUGCAUGUGCAGUCCUCUGUUGCAGUUUAUUCCGGGCCUGUGUGGAAUAGAAAGACGGUUCUUUCUUUGAUUGGAAGGCAAGAAAAGAGAAGACCCCUCAGGGUUUCCAAAGGACUGGAGCGGCUGCUUUAGUGAAGCAAUGGACAAUCAAAGAAGUAAAGGGCCUGCCUUAAAGCCACACUACUAGGAAACCUUGAGGAGUUUGACACUUUUUAUCCUCCAGCCAUUGACUGUUUUGUGAAGCAAGGCUAUACAUA